rnacentral:rRNA from 1 species
UACGUAGGGGGCAAGCGUUGUCCGGAUUGACUGGGCGUAAAGGGAGCGUAGGCGGUUUGGUAAGUCAAAUGUGAAAGCCCGUGGCUUAACUGCGGAAUUGCAUUUGAUACUGCUAAGCUUGAGUUCAGGAGAGGUAAGUAGAAUUCCUAGUGUAGCGGUGGAAUGCGUAGAUAUUAGGAGGAAUACCAGUGGCGAAGGCGGCUUGCUGGAAUGACACUGACGCUGAGGCUCGAAAGCGUGGGGAG